UACGUAGGGGGCAAGCGUUGUUCGGAAUUAUUGGGCGUAAAGGGCGCGUAGGCGGUUUGACAAGUCUGAUGUGAAAUCUAUGGGCUCAACCCAUAGCCUGCAUUAGAAACUGUCGGGCUUGAGUUCGGGAGAGGUGAGUGGAACUGCGAGUGUAGAGGUGAAAUUCGUAGAUAUUCGCAAGAACACCAGUGGCGAAGGCGGCUCACUGGCCCGAUACUGACGCUGAGGCACGAAAGCGUGGGGAGCAAACAGG
rnacentral:rRNA from 1 species